rnacentral:rRNA from 1 species
AGAGCACACGGUGAAUGCCUUGGUACAGACAGGCGAUGAAGGGCGUAGUAAGCUGCGAUAAGCUUCGGGGAGUUGCUGAACAAACUUUGAUCCGGAGAUUUCCGAAUGGGGAAACCCGCCACGAUUAAUCCCGUGGCAUCCCUCAGUGAAUACAUAGCUGUGGGAGGCAAACGGAGGGAAGUGAAACAUCUCAGUACCUCCAGGAAUAUAAAUCAAUAGAGAUUCCCGUAGUAGCGGCGAGCGAAACGGGAAUAGCCCAAACCGUUCCUGGCAACAGGGGCGGGGUUGUGGGGCUCAUUCCGGGCGUAGCCCGGCAAGUUACAAAACUAACCUAUAGUUGAAUGAACCUGGAAAGGACGGCCAGAGAGGGUGAUAGCCCCGUAAGCGAAAUAGGUUGGACUUGCUGGAAUGAGUACCCGAGUACCACGGGGCACGUGAAACCCCGUGGGAAUCUGGGAGGACCAUCUUCCAAGGCUAAAUACUAGUCUGUAACCGAUAGUGAACAAGUACCGUGAGGGAAAGGUGAAAAGAACCCCGGCAAGGGGAGUGAAAUAGAAACUGAAGCCGUGUGCUUACAAGCAGUGGGAGCACCAUGUGUUGGGUUCGCCCAACGCGGUGUGACCGCGUGCCUUUUGCUUAAUGAGUCUGCGAGUUACGCUCUGUAGCAAGGUUAAGCCGCGAGGUGUAGCCGUAGCGAAAGCGAGUCUUAACUGGGCGAAUAGUUGCAGGGAGUAGACCCGAAGCGGGAUGAUCUACCCAUGGCCAGGGUGAAGUUCUGGUAACACAGAAUGGAGGCCCGAACCGUUAGAGGUUGAAAACUCUUCGGAUGAGUUGUGGGUAGGGGUGAAAGGCCAAUCAAAUUCCGUGAUAGCUGGUUCUCUCCGAAAUAUAUUUAGGUAUAGCCUCUGAUGAUUACUGGCGGAGGUAGAGCACUGAAUGGGCUAGGGCCCUUCACCGGGUACCAAACCUAAUCAAACUCCGAAUGCCGCCAAGUACAGUCAGGGAGUCAGUCCAUGGGUGCUAAGGUCCAUGGUCGAAAGGGAAACAACCCGGACCGCCGGCUAAGGUCCCGAAGUGCAUGCUGAGUGGGAAAGGAUGUGGGAAGACUCAGACAGCCAGGAGGUUGGCUUAGAAGCAGCCAUCCUUUAAAGAAAGCGUAACAGCUCACUGGUCAAGUCGUCCUGCGCCGAAAAUGUAACGGGGCUAAGCAUGCCACCGAAGCCGCGGAUCAGUUCACGCCUACGGGUGUGUCCUGGUGGUAGGAGAGCAUUCCACUCGCCUGAGAAGCGUGACCGUAAGGACGCGUGGAGGUUGUGGAAGAGCUUAUGCAGACAUGAGUAGCGAUAAAAGAGGUGAGAAACCUCUUCGCCGUAAGUCUAAGGUUUCCUGGGUAAAGCUAAUCUGCCCAGGGUUAGUCGGUGCCUAAGCCGAGGCCGAAAGGCGUAGGUGAUGGACAUCAGGUUAAUAUUCCUGAACUACCGGCUUGACNNNNNNNNGGGUGAUGGAUAUCCCGGUUCAAGCGUGUAGGCGGGAAGGGUAGGCAAAUCCGCCCUUCCGUUAACGCCGAGACGUGAUGGCGAGUGAAACCUUUUGGGGUUUCAUGAAGUGAUUGAUCCCAUGCUUCCAAGAAAAUCCUCUAAGGGAGUCAAGCAGGUAACCGUACCGCAAACCAACACAGGUAGACGGGUAGAGAAUACCAAGGCGCUUGAGAGAACUCUGGUUAAGGAACUCGGCAAAUUGACACCGUAACUUAGGGAGAAGGUGUGCCGCCAUCAGGUGAUGGGCCUUGCGCCCGGAGCCGAAGGCGGUUGCAGAGACCAGGGGGUAGCGACUGCUUACCAAAAGCACAGGACUCUGCAAAGUCGCAAGACGACGUAUAGGGUCUGACGCCUGCCCGGUGCCGGAAGGUUAAGAGGACUCGUUAGCUCUUCGGAGCGAAGCGGGGAAUCGAAGCCCCGGUAAACGGCGGCCGUAACUAUAACGGUCCUAAGGUAGCGAAAUUCCUUGUCGGGUAAGUUCCGACCUGCACGAAUGGCGCAACGACUUCCCCACUGUCUCAACCAGGGACUCAGCGAAAUUGCACUCUCGGUGAAGAUACCGAGUACCCGCAGCUGGACGGAAAGACCCUGUGCACCUUUACUACAACUUUGCAGUGAGGCUAGGAAUACCAUGUGUAGGAUAGGUGGGAGGCUUUGAAGCGGGGGCGCUAGCCCUCGUGGAGCCAACCUUGAAAUACCACCCUUGAUCUUUUUGGUCUCUAACCGUGGCCCGUUAUCCGGGUCCGGAACAUUGCAUGGUGGGUAGUUUAACUGGGGCGGUUGCCUCCAAAAGAGUAACGGAGGCGCGCAAUGGUUCCCUCAGGCCGAAUGGAAACCGGCCGUCGAGUGCAAAGGCAUAAGGGAGCUUGACUGCGAGAGAGACAUCUCGAGCAGAUGCGAAAGCAGGUCUUAGUGAUCCGGUGGUCCCGAAUGGAAGGGCCAUCGCUCAACGGAUAAAAGGUACGCCGGGGAUAACAGGCUUAUCUCCCCCAAGAGUUCACAUCGACGGGGAGGUUU